GCGAACGCUGGCGGCGUGCCUAACACAUGCAAGUCGCGCGGACCGUUUGGGGGCAACUCGAGGCGGUUAGCGGCGGAAGGGUGAGUAACACGUGGGUAACCUACCCGGGAGACUGGAAUAACAUCUCGAAAGGGGUGCUAAUACCAGAUACGCUCCUUCGGGCAUAAGCUCGGGGGAGGAAAGGUCGCGCAAGCAGUCACUCCCGGAGGGGCCCGCGGCCCAUUAGCUAGUUGGCGGGGUAAUGGCCCACCAAGGCAACGAUGGGUAGCCGGCCUGAGAGGGUGGUCGGCCACACUGGGACUGAGACACGGCCCAGACUCCUACGGGAGGCAGCAGUGGGGAAUUUUCCGCAAUGGGCGAAAGCCUGACGGAGCGACGCCGCGUGGGGGAUGAAGGCCUUCGGGUUGUAAACCCUGUCAUGGGGAAGAUGGGCACGGCGGUGAACAGCCGCUGUGUCUGACGGUACCCC
rnacentral:rRNA from 1 species